UCCGAAGGGGGCUAGCGUUGUUCGGAUUUACUGGGCGUAAAGCGCGUGUAGGCGGGUCGUUAAGUUGGGGGUGAAAUCCCGGAGCUCAACUCCGGAACUGCCUCCAAAACUGGCGACCUGGAGCAGAGGAGAGGAGAGCGGAAUUCCGAGUGUAGAGGUGAAAUUCGUAGAUAUUCGGAGGAACACCAGUGGCGAAGGCGGCUCGCUGGACUCUUGCUGACGCUGAGACGCGAAAGCGUGGGGAGCAAACAGG
rnacentral:rRNA from 1 species